GACGAACGCUGGCGGCGUGCUUAACACAUGCAAGUCGAACGAAGAGCGAUGGACGCUUGCUUCUAUCCGUCUUACUGACGAGCGAGUAAGUAAUGCGUAAUCAACCUGCCCUUCGGGGGGGGCCAACAGUAGCAAACGACUGCUCAUACCGCAUACGCUCUAAUCUCGGCAUCGAGGAUAGAUGUCGGGCGGCCGCUACAGGUAAGCUAUCACUGCAGGAGGGGAGUGCGUCUGAUUAGCUAGUUGGAGGGGUAACGGCCCACCAAGGCGAUGAUCAGUAGCCGGUCUGAGAGGAUGAACGGCCAAAUUGGGACUGAGACACGGCCCAGACUCCUACGGGAGGCAGCAGUGGGGAAACUUCCGCAAUGGACGAAAGUCUUACGGAGCAACGCCGCGGGAGCGAUGACGGCCUUCGGGUUGUAAAGGUCUGUUAAUCGGGACGAAAGGCCUUCUUGCUAAUACGGAGAAGGAUUGACGGUACCGGAAUAGAAAGCAACGGCUAACUACGUG
rnacentral:rRNA from 1 species